rnacentral:snRNA from 1 species
GUGCUUGCUUCAGCAACACAUACACUAAAAUUGGAAUGAUACAGAGAAGACUAGCAUGGCCCCUGUGCAAGAAUGACCUGCAAAUUCAUGAAGUGUCCCAUAUUUUU